ACGGGAGGCAGCAGUGGGGAAUCUUGUGCAAUGGGCGAAAGCCUGACGCAGCAACGCCGCGUGGGGGAUGACGGCCUUCGGGUUGUAAACCUCUUUCGACAUCGACGAAGCCUUCGGGUGACGGUAGGUGUAGAAGAAGCACCGGCUAACUACGUGCCAGCAGCCGCGGUAAUACGUAGGGUGCGAGCGUUGUCCGGAAUUAUUGGGCGUAAAGAGCUCGUAGGCGGUUUGUCGCGUCGGCCGUGAAAACCUGCCGCUUAACGGUGGGCGUGCGGUCGAUACGGGCAGACUUGAGUUCGGUAGGGGAGACUGGAAUUCCUGGUGUAGCGGUGAAAUGCGCAGAUAUCAGGAGGAACACCGGUGGCGAAGGCGGGUCUCUGGGCCGAUACUGACGUUGAGGAGCGAAAGCGUGGGGAGCGAACAGGAUUAGAUACCCUGGUAGUCCACGCCGUAAACGGUGGGCGCUAGGUGUGGGGACUGUUUCCACGGUUCCUGUGCCGUAGCUAACGCAUUAAGCGCCCCGCCUGGGGAGUACGGCCGCAAGGCUAAAACUCAAAGGAAUUGAC
rnacentral:rRNA from 1 species